GUCAAGCCAUCCACACUGUACAUGACUGUAGCGUUCUGACUGGGCAUUGUCUAUUUUUGAAGUAUUGUGACCAAUAAUUCACAUCCUGCACUUGGGUAGGUAUGGAAGAAGCAGACCUGGUAAAGGAACGACUCCAAGUCAUAAUGGAUAAGAGAAAAGUCCAAGAAGACAUUACUCAUAACAAGCUAGAACUAGACAAGGAGAAGUUGAAGCUUCAGCACUUAAAGAAGAGGUCCCUAAGGAACCAAUGGCUAAUGGAUGGAGUGAGCAACCAGACUGUACAGCAAAGAGAGACUUUGAGGGGAGAUAAACAACAAACUAAACUCCUCCAGACCACCAUCCGCAGGUAUAGUAUUGUAAUCCAGGACAUUUUCAUUUUAUUUAUACAGGGUUAAACAACUCAGAACAGGUUAUGUUUUUCAGUUGAGACCUAAGUUAUUACAAUCAAAACAUAUUCAGAACAGAUACUAAGAAUAACAAUCACAUUUUACUGAAAAACAGCAACUUUCAGUGCGGGGGCAUAGUAGUUAAAUUAGAUUUGACCCAUUUCUCAGAUUAAGCCUGCAGUAUCUCCAGCACUAGUCAGUCCUGUGAGUGUGUUCAGUAACUUAUUUCUCCCAAAUAUAUUUAGGAGAGACAUAAUUCAGACAGACCCUAGUCCCCUGACAGAUAAAGUAAUGCAAUAAAAACACACUGGGACUGAGACAGGACAGACUGAUCCUAGUCCCCCAGGCAGGAAAUAUUUCCUAGUUUGCCAAGCAGACCAAAGGGAUAAGAAUCAACCACAUACCACCCUGUCUUCUUGCACGUGUGCUUCACAAAAUGGGUUUCCAUGACCAAGCAGCUGUUCACAAGCCUCACAACAACAUGUGCAAUGCCAAACAUUGGCUGGAGUGGUGUAAAGCAUGCCGCCACUGGACUCUAGAGCAGUGAAAACGUGUUCUCUGGAGUGAUGAAUCACACUCCGCUAUCUGGCAGUGGGAUGGACAAAUGUGAGUGUGGUUGAGGCCAGGAGGGAUGCAACCUUCCGCAAUGCAUAGUGCCUACUGUAAUGUUUGGUGAUGGAGGGAUAAUGGUCUGUUUCAGUGUUUGGACUAGGCCCCUUUGUUCCAGUGAGGUGUCAUCAUAAUGUUACAGGAUACAAAGUGUCAUGGUGCGGUGAGCAGCAGCGCCACCGUGCCAUAUAUUCUCAAGUUCCCAUAGCGCACAAACACAUCCCGGACUGUCACAUGUCUCCAAUCUUUCAAACCAGGUCCCAAUUGUCAUCAUUUGUAUGUGUAUAUAUGUUUCCCCUCUGCUCCCCACAUUGUGGAUCAUUGUUGCUGUUCGUUUAAUGGUGAGUGUUGCUUGUUUGUACUGUCUGAAAAUUGCCUGUUAAGAUGCAUGUUGCACACUUUUAUUUCAUUCAGUCGUUUGUAGAGUUUUCCGUUUGUGUUCGGUUUGUUUGUAUGGUUAUUAAACCCACGAAUGUGAUAUAUGCCUGCACCUGGUUCCUUGCCAACACGACACCAACUAGAACCGUUACAGAAUGAUCCACCAAAACCUGAACCAGCAGGCAGUCCCUCCAGGACUGAGGCCUCC
ensembl:lncRNA